AGUUUGGUGCUCCACUUUCUAGCGGGCCAGUUCAGGCAUCACAUAAAUGUUGCCCGUGUCCUCAGGCUCAAAGCCAUCAAGAUUGCGGUUUAAAAGGCCGUAAUUAACAAUCAAAAAAGAGAGGAGAUUGACAAAAAGAAGAAAAUAACGUUCAUCGAAUUACAUCAGUUGUCGUAAUAUGGGUGGAUGCAAAGUCAAGAGUCAUCGGUUCAUUUUAAUAAAUCACGUACUUAUUCAAAAAUUGUUUUUUAAUUUCCUCGAAUAUACAUAUUUUAAUUUAGA